GCUCAACCGUGGAGGGUCAUUGGAAACUGGAAAACUUGAGUGCAGAAGAGGAAAGUGGAAUUCCAUGUGUAGCGGUGAAAUGCGCAGAGAUAUGGAGGAACACCAGUGGCGAAGGCGACUUUCUGGUCUGUAACUGACGCUGAUGUGCGAAAGCGUGGGGAUCAAACAGGAUUAGAUACC
rnacentral:rRNA from 1 species